GGGGCUGUUUUUGGUUUCGACGGUUGCAAAAGCAAUUACUCUUAGAUUUGAAAAAAUUUUUUAAAAUUAAAAAAAUUAAAAUAACUCAAGCAGUUUUUGCAUAAAUUUCAGAGAUAACUUUUAAACCUUUUAUUUAUAAAUUCAAAUAAAAAAUAUAUUUUGUUAUAAUAUAACAUCGCACACUUUUAAAAUUGAAAUUAUGUAUUAACUUUUUUUUUAAAAGUAUUUAAUUCUCAAUAAUACAAAUUAGUAGUAAUAUAGAAAUACGAACUUUAAAAUCUAACUUAAUAAUGCAAUCGCAUGUAGGUUCAAAUCCUACCAGCUCCA
rnacentral:tmRNA from 1 species